AGAUCCCUGAAAGAUGAUCAGGUUGAUAGGUCAGAGGUGGAAGCGUGGCGACAUGUGGAGCUGACUGAUACUAAUCGAUCGAGGACUUAACCAA
rnacentral:rRNA from 1 species